rnacentral:lncRNA from 1 species
ACUACUUGAACCUGGGAAUGAGGAAACAAUCCCCUGACAGAAGGAUCAAACAAUUCUACCUACAACAUAUUAGGGAUCAAAACAGAAUGCCAUGGCUAAAGAUACUACUCUGGCAGGGGAUAGAUAGGCAACCUAUGGAAUGGCAGCAAGAGCUAAACUAUGUUAUAGCUGAUAAUGAAUGCACAAGGAAAAUCUGCUACUGCAGAAAUCCAUAAAAUGGCCUUGACUAGCUGCAUUUACUAUAUUUGGGAUGAAAGGAACAUAAGGUAUUCCAACAACCUUGACUAUCUGCAUUUACUAUAUUUGGCCUGAAAGGAACAGAAGGAUAUUCCAGCCACUUUGUCGAUCUGUGGAGGCACUGGUGAGAAGCAUCAUCCAGGAGGUUCAUUGUCAAGGCCGCAUGUAGCCUCAGUUGACUAGACAAUUAGCAACUCGAAACUUUUAUCCUUGAAUAUUAUGGCUUUAUGCUUAGUAUAAGUAGGAUAUAGUGAGAUGAUCUAGACCAAAAGCAUUGUUCACUCUAAGGGAUCGUUGGUAGAGUGUAUUGAAAAAUAUAAUGCAUGAUUAGUUAAUGUGUACUAUUAGUAUCUUGUUUGGUAUAAUUUUUGCCUAUGUAUAAUUAAUACAAGCAUUAGUUAUACACUUUAUUGUUUAUUGAAGUGUGUAUUAGUAAUACACUUCAUUUCC